rnacentral:lncRNA from 13 species
AUGGCACUCAAAAGCACCAGCAGCCUUGGAUCAGUGGGUGCCCUGCAUUGCGGAUAUUCAUGUUGCAAUUAUAAGGAUGCUGCUCCUCUGCUAAUAGUGUCAAUGGCACUGACAUCAAGGCCAAAGAUGCUGGAAGAUCUGCUGCAUCAAAACUUGGAGAAAUAUGCUGGAAGAUCUGCUCCAUCAAAACUUGGAAGUAAACAAAAAAAGAAGCAGAGAGAUAAUUUGGAAAGAAGAAAUCCAGCAGAGCAGAACUGUGAAGGGAUAUCCCUGGACAAAGAUUCUGUCCCAGGCCAACAGAGGACACAGCUAGAGCAUUUGGAAAAAAUACCAGUAGGUUUCAGAUGUAUGUAGAAUCAUCUUAGGUGAAAAGUUUGCAAAUAGAAACAAGAUUUUUUAAACAAAAAAAAUUUUUAUUGCAUUUUAGGUUUUGGGGUACAUGUGCAGAACAUGCAAGAUAGUUGCAUA